rnacentral:rRNA from 1 species
CCUACGGGAGGCAGCAGUAGGGAAUUUUCGUCAAUGGGCGCAAGCCUGAACGAGUAAUGCCGCGUGAACGAGGAAGGUCUUCGGAUCGUAAAGUUCUGUUGAAGGGGAAAAAGAGCGGAGAGAGGAAAUGGUCUCCGAUUGAUAUUACCCUUCGAGGAAGUCACGGCUAACUACGUGCCAGCAGCCGCGGUAAUACGUAGGUGGCGAGCGUUAUCCGGAAUGAUUGGGCGUAAAGGGUGCGUAGGCGGCCUGCUAAGUCUGGAGUGAAAGGUACCGGCUCAACCGGUACAGGCUCUGGAAACUGGCGGGCUAGAGAGCAGGAGAGGGCGGUGGAACUCCAUGUGUAGCGGUAAAAUGCGUAGAUAUAUGGAAGAACACCAGUGGCGAAGGCGGCCGCCUGGCCUGUUACGGACGCUGAGGCACGAAAGCGUGGGGAGCAAAUAGGAUUAGAUACCCGAGUAGUC